CCCGGGGCGCUAACUGCAGUCGACGAUGAACCCAGCUUGCUGGGUGGAUUAGUGGCGAACGGGUGAGUAACACGUGAGUAACCUGCCCUUAACUCUGGGAUAAGCCUGGGAAACUGGGUCUAAUACCGGAUAGGAGCGUCCACCGCAUGGUGGGUGUUGGAAAGAUUUAUCGGUUUUGGAUGGACUCGCGGCCUAUCAGCUUGUUGGUGAGGUAAUGGCUCACCAAGGCGACGACGGGUAGCCGGCCUGAGAGGGUGACCGGCCACACUGGGACUGAGACACGGCCCAGACUCCUACGGGAGGCAGCAGUGGGGAAUAUUGCACAAUGGGCGAAAGCCUGAUGCAGCGACGCCGCGUGAGGGAUGACGGCCUUCGGGUUGUAAACCUCUUUCAGUAGGGAAGAAGCGAAAGUGACGGUACCUGCAGAAGAAGCACCGGCUAACUACGUGCCAGCAGCCGCGGUAAUACGUAGGGUGCGAGCGUUAUCCGGAAUUAUUGGGCGUAAAGAGCUCGUAGGCGGUUUGUCGCGUCUGUCGUGAAAGUCCGGGGCUUAACCCCGGAUCUGCGGUGGGUACGGGCAGACUAGAGUGCAGUAGGGGAGACUGGAAUUCCUGGUGUAGCGGUGGAAUGCGCAGAUAUCAGGAGGAACACCGAUGGCGAAGGCAGGUCUCUGGGCUGUAACUGACGCUGAGGAGCGAAAGCAUGGGGAGCGAACAGGAUUAGAUACCCUGGUAGUCCAUGCCGUANACGUUGGGCACUAGGUGUGGGGACCAUUCCACGGUUUCCGCGCCGCAGCUAACGCAUUAAGUGCCCCGCCUGGGGAGUACGGCCGCAAGGCUAANACUCAAAGGAAUUGACGGGGGCCCGCACAAGCGGCGGAGCAUGCGGAUUAAUUCGAUGNCACGCGAAGAACCUUACCAAGGCUUGACAUGUUCUCGAUCGCCGUAGAGAUACGGUUUCCCCUUUGGGGCGGNUUCACAGGUGGUGCAUGGGUGUCGUCAGCUCGUGUCGUGAGAUGUUGGGUUAAGUCCCCGCACGAGCGCACCCNUCGUUCCAUGNUGCCAGCACGUCGUGGUGGGGACUCAUGGGAGACUGCCCGGGGUCACUCGGGAGGAAGGUGAGGACGACGUCAAAUCAUCAUGCCCCUUNAGGUCUGGGGCUUCCGCAUGCUACAGGGCCGGGUACAUGGGUUGGCGAAACUGGUAGGGUGAGCUAUCCCCAAAACCCGGUCUANUUCGAAUGGGGUUGCAANUCGAACCAUGGAAUCGGAUCCCUAUAAUCCAAAAACACACCUGCGGGUAUAAUUUCCGGGCUUUUACACCCCCGUCAUUCCCAAAUGUAACACCCAACGGGGGUACCUUGGGGGACUCAAGGACUGAAAAU
rnacentral:rRNA from 1 species